rnacentral:rRNA from 1 species
UACGAAGGGGGCUAGCGUUGCUCGGAAUCACUGGGCGUAAAGGGUGCGUAGGCGGGUCUUUAAGUCAGGGGUGAAAUCCUGGAGCUCAACUCCAGAACUGCCUUUGAUACUGAAGAUCUUGAGUUCGGGAGAGGUGAGUGGAACUGCGAGUGUAGAGGUGAAAUUCGUAGAUAUUCGCAAGAACACCAGUGGCGAAGGCGGCUCACUGGCCUCGUAACUGACGC